GAGGGAGAGAGGUGUUGGAUUACAGAGAUACGUAGCUAUGUUACAAUUUGCUCCCUUCAAAUACUGUCUGUGCUUCUUUGCCUGAUUUGGCUCUGUGCUGUAGGUCAGGUUGAGAGAGGUUACUGUUGGUCUGGCUCUGUGCUGUAGGUCAGGUUGAGGGAGAUUACUGUUGUCUGGCUCUUUGCUGUAGGUCAGGUUGAGAGAGGUUACUGUUGGUCUGGCUCUGUGCUGUAGGUCAGGUUGAGAGAGGUUACUGUUGGUCUGGCUCUGUGCUGUAGGUCAGGUUGAGAGAGGUUACUGUUGGUCUGGCUCUGUGCUGUAGGUCAGGUUGAGAGAGGUUACUGUUGGUGUGGCUCUGUGCUGUAGGUCAGGUUGAGAGAGGUUACUGUUGGUCUGGCUCUGUGCUGUAGGUCAGGUUGAGGGAGAUUACUGUUGGUCUGGCUCUGUAGAAUGCUGCCUUCUUUUAUCCACUGGCGAUGAAUGAAAAGAGGGCCACAGAUAGUUUAAAUGAAAAGAGGGCCACGGAUGGUUUGAAUGAAAAGAGGGC
ensembl:lncRNA